AGGAGUGCUUCCAAGAGCUCCACAGAGAAGCUGGAUGAGCAGUCUAAAGGCAGGAACUAUGGAAGCUGCACCACAGCAAGGACUAUAGCCAGCAGUGGGGAGCUUCAGCAUGAACCCUGUGAAUCUGGCAUGGGCAAUGGCAGCCAUGGAUGUGGUUCUGUACCAGCCACUUUUACCACGCCUAAUGGCAGCCAGGAAUGUGCCCCUGCACCUGUGACCCAGCUCGCACUACAGCAGAGUGCUCAAGGGAUAUGUGCCACAGGUAGUGAUGCUCCCGAGAAAGUUCGCUGGAGGUUUUGGCAAAUUUGUCACGAGACAGACAGUCACAUGCAGAUUCCUGGUGGGACAAACUCUGCGAGUCAAUGCAUUUGGGUGAUGCCCUCCUUGAAGUGUGAGACCACAUGAGGAGGUUGGUAGUCCCGUGUUGAUUACCAGAGGUCACAUGACUUUAAGUUAUGUCCUUCAGAGAAUUUUUAAGCAUCUCUUGGAAAAAACACAAAAGUGGGUACCAUCCCAGAAAGGGAAAAGUAGCUCCGCUUGACUUGUUUCUGUCCAGGAGGUAGCCAGGAGCAUUACAGGUGAACCUUUCCCCUGAAAUGUACAGCUCUCCCCUGACACCAGUGCAACUGCCAGCAGGGCCAAGCGGCCACCACUGCAUUUCGGGGAUCCAGGGCCAUUUCAGGGUGAUGGUGGGGUGAAGACAAAGAAGGGCGCCCUGGAUCAACUGCUCACAAUAUUGUGUUUCUUACAAUAAAAUGUCACGUUAU